GCUUGUGGCGGCUAAGUGUUCAUAGCGACGUCGCUUUUUAAUCCUUUAAUGUCUGGUCGGCUCUUCCUAUUAUACCAAAGCAGAAUUUGGUAAGCAUUAGAUUGUUCACCUACUAGAGUAUUAAUAUCUCUUAA
rnacentral:ncRNA from 1 species